CGGUAGGUUGAUGUGUAAGAUGUUGAUGCUGAGAUUCACCAUCAUCAGGUCCCAUCCAAAAUCUAUUAUAGCAUUAUAUGCAUGUAUAUAAACAACAAUAAUUAACUGCAGUAGAGAAGGCAAAAAAACAAAAAAGUAAGACAACACGCGAUCGACCGAGUAGCUACUUACCGAACCCUGCAAUAAAGAAGGAAAGGGAAGCAACCAGCGAGAACAGCUCUGACUUGUUUAUUAAUUUACGAUGAACUGAAUGUAGUAGUAACUUGGAGUGAUAUAUAUGCUGGAAUUAUAUUAUGUUAAUAUGGGGAAAAGUGGAAGCAUAUAUAUAUAUAUAUAUAUAACUCAUGUUGUGAGAUUUUGUUGAUGAAUGAAUUCAUGCAUGGUUAAUUAUUGCCAAA
rnacentral:lncRNA from 1 species